CCUGGUUGAUCCUGCCAGUAGUCAUAUGCUUGUCUCAAAGAUUAAGCCAUGCAUGUCUAAGUACAAGCCUCACUAAGGUGAAACCGCGAAUGGCUCAUUAAAUCACACCUAAUGUACUGGACAGUCUCAGUUACUUGGAUAACUGCGGUAAUUCUGGAGCUAAUACAUGCGUACUAGCCGCGACUCACGGAGCGGUGCUUUUAUUAGAUCAAAACCAAACGGCCUCGAGCCGUCCCCCUGGUGAUUCUGAAUAACUUUGGGCUGAUCGCACGGCCUCGAGCCGGCGACGUGUCCUUCCAAGGUGUGCCCUAUCAACUGUCGACUGUGGCAUAGACGCCCACAGUGGUUUUGACGGGUAACGGGGAAUUAGGGUUCGAUUCCGGAGAGGGAGCCUGAGAAACGGCUACCACUUCUACGGAAGGCAGCAGGCACGCAAAUUACCCACUGGCCGCAGGCCGAGGUAGUGACGAAAAAUAACGAUACCGGACUCAUCCGAGGCCCGGUAAUCGGAAUGAGUACACUUUAAAUCCUUUAACGAGGAACAAUUGGAGGGCAAGUCUGGUGCCAGCAGCCGCGGUAAUUCCAGCUCCAAUAGCGUAUAUUAAAGUUGUUGCGGUUAAAAAGCUCGUAGUUGGAUCUCGGCGGGCAGGGGGUGGUUCGCUCUUCAGCGCUACUGCCCCGCUUUGCCCGUGUGAUUGGCGGAGGUUUCGGGGUGCUCUUCGUUGAGUGACUCGGAGCGCCGUCAGGUUUACUUUGAAAAAAUUAGAGUGCUCAAAGCAGGCUUUUCACGCUUGAAUAUUCGUGCAUGGAAUAAUGGAAUAGGAACUCGUUUCUAUUUUGUUGGUUUUCGGAAAUCGAGUUAAUGAUUAACAGGGACAAUUGGGGGCAUUAGUAUUCAGACGACAGAGGUGAAAUUCUUGGACCGUCUGAAGACUGACUACUGCGAAAGCAUUUGCCAAGAGUGUUUUCAUUAAUCAAGAACGAAAGUUAGAGGUUCGAAGGCGAUCAGAUACCGCCCUAGUUCUAACCAUAAACGAUGCCAGCUAGCGAUCUGCCGAGUUUUUUUUGUAGGCUCCGCAGGAAGCUUUCGGGAAACCAAAGCUUUUGGGUUCCGGGGGAAGUAUGGUUGCAAAGCUGAAACUUAAAGGAAUUGACGGAAGGGCACCACCAGGAGUGGAGCCUGCGGC
rnacentral:rRNA from 1 species